ACGCUCGACACCUACGGGAGGCAGCAGUUGGGAAUAUUGGACAAUGGAGGGAACUCUGAUCCAGUGACGCCGCGUGAAGGAAGAAGGUCUUCGGAUUGUAAAACUUAUUUUAUCAGGGAAGAAAGAAAUGACAGUACCUGAAGAAGAAGGACCGGCUAACUACGUGCCACAGCCGCGGUAAUCUGAGCGGGCUGGCAAGGC
rnacentral:rRNA from 1 species